rnacentral:rRNA from 1 species
GACGAACGCUGGCGGCGUGCUUAACACAUGCAAGUCGAACGGUGAAGCGCCUUCCUUUUUGGUGGGUGUGGAUGAGUGGCGAACGGGUGAGUAACACGUGAGUAACCUGCCCCCUUCUUCUGGAUAACCGCAUGAAAGUGUGGCUAAUACGGGAUAUUCUGGGUCUGUCGCAUGAUGGGUCUGGGACAGAUAUUGUUUCGGUGGGGGAUGGGCUCGCGGCCUAUCAGCUUGUUGGUGGGGUGAUGGCCUACCAAGGCGGUGACGGGUAGCCGGCCUGGGAGGGUGGACGGUCACACUGGGACUGAGACACGGCCCAGACUCCUACGGGAGGCAGCAGGGGGGAAUAGUGCACAGUGGGCGCAAGCCUGAUGCAGCGACGCCGCGGGAGGGAUGGAGGCCUGCGGGUUGUGAACCUCUUUCGCCAGUGAAGCAGGCCUGCCUCGUUUGUGGGUGGGUUGACGGUAGCUGGAUAAGAAGCGCCGGCUAACUACGUG